AUUGAACGCUGGCGGCAUGCCUUACACAUGCAAGUCGAACGGCAGCACGGGAGCUUGCUCCUGGUGGCGAGUGGCGAACGGGUGAGUAAAGUAUCGGAACAUGCCCUGAAGUGGGGGAUAACGUAGCGAAAGUUACGCUAAUACCGCAUAUUCUGUGAGCAGGAAAGCAGGGGAUCGCAAGACCUUGCGCUUUAGGAGUGGCCGAUAUCGGAUUAGCUAGUUGGUGAGGUAAAGGCUCACCAAGGCGACGAUCCGUAGCGGGUCUGAGAGGAUGAUCCGCCACACUGGGACUGAGACACGGCCCAGACUCCUACGGGAGGCAGCAGUGGGGAAUUUUGGACAACGGGCGCAAGCCUGAUCCAGCCAUGCCGCGUGAGUGAAGAAGGCCUUCGGGUUGUAAAGCUCUUUCGGCGGGGAAGAAAUGGCGCUUUCUAAUACAGGGCGUUGAUGACGGUACCCGCAUAAGAAGCACCGGCUAACUACGUGCCAGCCGCCGCGGUAAAAC
rnacentral:rRNA from 1 species